GAAAGAUUCAACUCAGCCCAGAAUUGAAGAGGAAUUGGAUUUUGAGAAGAAUUUGUGGAAAGGAAAACGAACAAGGGAAACGAAGAGGGUUAAACUCAGAUUUUGCGAAGCAACUCAGGAAAAUGUAACAACAAAGCAGAACAGUAGGCAGGGGAGCUGGCUUCGUUGACCGCUGUACAUAUGGUUGGACCAA